UCCACGCGGAUUUUUCACGUAGGAUUAC
rnacentral:sRNA from 1 species